CCUACGGGAGACAGCAGUAGGGAAUCUUUCACAAUGGGCGAAAGCCUGAUGGAGCAACGCCGCGUGCAGGAUGAAGGCCUUCGGGUUGUAAACUGCUUUUAUAAGCGAGAAAUAUGAUGGUAACUUAUGAAUAAGGAUUGGCUAACUACGUGCCAGCAGCCGCGGUCAUACGUAGGAUCCGAGCAUUAUCCGGAGUGCCUGGGUGUAAAGAGUUGCGUAGGUGGCAUAAUAAGUAGCUAGUGAAAUCUGGUGGCUCAACCAUUCAGACUAUUAGCUAAACUGUUAAGCUCGAGAGCGUGAGGGGUAACUGGAAUUUCUAGUGUAGGGGUGAAAUCCGUAGAUAUUAGAAGGAACACCAAUUGCGUAGGCAGGUUGCUGGGACGGUUCUGACACUAAGGCACGAAAGCGUAGGGAGCAAACAGGAUUAGAUACCCCGGUAGUC
rnacentral:rRNA from 1 species